CUUCGUUAUCAAAUCUCCAUCUUUACUUCCGAUUAUGAUUGAUCUGCCAAUCACCUGCUUCCUUCCGUUUUUCCAGCUGCUUCAACAAAUGCCACCUAUAAUGUAUCUUAAUGCUGCUCACUGUCAAUGUUCUUUUCCCGACGCAGGUGGCACUUACUGUAGGUUGACUGAGGAAAUCUGGGAAUUAAAGUCUACAAGUCUUAAAGUUACCAAGUUUGGAGACCCCUGCUCUGGAGGAAGAGGUUAUGUGGCCUGAAUAAAUUGGAACAUCCUGGACAGAAGCCCA